AGUGAACGCUGGCGGUAGGCCUAACACAUGCAAGUCGAACGGCAGCACAGUAAGAGCUUGCUCUUACGGGUGGCGAGUGGCGGACGGGUGAGGAAUACAUCGGAAUCUACUUUUUCGUGGGGGAUAAGGAAGGGAAACUAAGGCUAAAACGCCAUACGACCACCGGGGGAAAGAAGGGGAUUUUCGAACUUUGGGCGUUUGAAGGGGCGGAUGUCGGAUUAGCUAGUUGGCGGGGUAAAGGCCCACCAAGGCGACGAUCCGUAGCUGGUCUGAGAGGAUGAUCCGCCACACUGGAACUGAGACACGGUCCAGACUCCUACGGGAGGCAGCAGUGGGGAAUAUUGGACAAUGGGCGCAAGCCUGAUCCAGCCAUACCGCGUGGGUGAAGAAGGCCUUCGGGUUGUAAAGCCCUUUUGUUGGGAAAGAAAAGCAGCAGGUUAAUACCCCGCUGUUCUGACGGUACCCAAAGAAUAAGCACCGGCUAACUUCGUG
rnacentral:rRNA from 1 species